UUUCUCACAAGGCAGCACAUAUACUAAAAUUGGAACGAUACAGAGAUUAGCAUGGCCCCUGCGCAAGCAUGACAUGCAAAUUCGUGAAGCAUUCCAUAUUUUU
rnacentral:snRNA from 1 species